rnacentral:rRNA from 1 species
GCGGCGAAAGGGGGAGUAACACGUAACCAACGUACCCCUCAGAUCGGGAUAACCACUGGAAACGGUGGAUAAUACUGAAUGGUCCUAGGAAGGACAUCCUUCCGAAGGUAAACGGCGGCUUCGGCUGCUGUUGAGGGAGCGGGUUGCGUCCUAUCAGCUUGUUGGUGAGGUAACGGCUCACCAAGGCUAUGACGGGUAGCGGGUCUGAGAGGAUGAUCCGCCACACUGGGACUGAGACACUGCCCAGACUCCUACGGGAGGCUGCAGUCGAGAAUCUUCCACAAUGGGCGAAAGCCUGAUGGAGCGACGCUGCGUGUAGGAUGAAGGCCUUAGGGUUGUAAACUACUGUCACGCUAUAGGAACCCGUGUAGGUUAAUAGCCUGCGCGCUGACCAAAGCGAGAGGAAGUGCCGGCUAACUCCGUGCCAGCAGCCGCGGUAAGACGGAGGGCGCAAGCGUUGUUCGGAAUCACUGGGCAUAAAGGGCGCGUAGGCGGCCAGUUCAGUCGGAUGUGAAAUCCCCCGGCCCAACCGGGGAACUGCAUUCGAUACUGACUGGCUAGAGGAUGGUAGGAGCCAAUGGAACUCCAGGUGGAACGGUGAAAUGUGUAGAUAUCUGGAGGAACACCGGUGGCGAAAGCGAUUGGCUGGGCCAUUUCUGACGCUGAGGCGCGAAAGCUAGGGGAGCGAACGGGAUUAGAUACCCCGGUAGUCCUAGCCGUAAACGAUGGGUACUGGG